AUAUAAUCUAUGUUUGGCAACAAACAAUACAUUGAUCCAUUGCGCACGCGCAAUCAGCGUCUUGUUACAAUGACUUCUAGAAAUAUCCCUACUACUAAGUAAAAUGUCGACGUAUAUUUUGCACUUAUCAUGUUCACUGACAUAUCUUAAAAGAUAUAGAAAGAAUACAAAAAUAUUCACUUGGGACAUGAUAAAGCAAUUGGUAUCAAAUAUAUUUUUUAUUCUAUAUGUUAUAGAAGAAUGAUGUAAGUUAAAAAAUAUAAUCUAUAGUGAUGAAAUUUCAGAUUGAUUGAAUUCUUUUAUCUUGAAAUCGAUUAUAAUAUUAUUUGAAUCCAAGUUAUUAUGAUAACGAAUUGUGAUUAAUAUGUUAUUGGCAGAAAUAUUGUGUUUUUCAAGAUUAUUUAUAAAAUAUUGUUCAAAUUUGUAAUAAUAGAAAUUACAAUUUGUUUAAUAAAUUUGACAUAUAUGAUUAUAUUUAUACUAUCCAUACAUAAAAAUUUGUACGCAAUAUGUCAAAUGAAAAGUCAGUCGAAACUACUAUCGACUUCGUAAAAUUACAAUCGAUUGAAAGGAUAUCGCAUACAUAUAAAAUUUCGUUAAUCAAGUUGAUCAAUAGCACACAAAUAGAAAUAUUGACAAAAAUAAAUAUAUAUCAACAAUGAAGCUGCAAGGGUGUUCUUAAUACGAUAUAUUUUAAUUAAUAUUAUCUUCAAUAUAUCGUGAUAUUUACUUUUAUAUAUAGAGUUGAGAUAUUUGAUUUUUUAAUUACAUUUUUAGAAACUGUUAAGUAAAAAAAUGAAAAUUACUUUCUUUAAAUUUCUUUAUAAUAUAAUAUAAUAAUUUUUUAUAAUAUAAUGGAAUAUCAAAUAUUUCAAAUGGAAUUAAAAAAUAUUAUUACAACUCAUUUUUUGAGUUGAUAAUAUUUUUAAUUACAAUUCGUUUUUUCAAAUUCCUUUUUCAAAAGGAGAUAUCUAAAUGACAAUUAAUAAUUUAUAAUAAUUUAUAUCCAUAAUACAUAAUUCAUAUAAUGCAUUAAUAUAUAUUUAAUCAAUAUAAUAUACAUUAAUAUAUAUUUUGCAAUUUGAAAAAUUAGAAAUUAGAAUUAGAAAAUGUAAGUAUAUAAUAAUUUAUAAUUUUUUCAAAAAUAUUUAUAAGAGAUAUUUUGAUAAUUUAUUGAAUUAUAAAUAUAACCAAUAUAUUAGUAUAUAUAUUUUAUGUAAAGUAGUAUUUUAUAAGAAAUUCUUUUUUUUGUAUUUAAAUAAAUAUAUAGGGUAUAUUUAUUGAUCGAAAUCUCGAAUAUGUAUGUACAUUAAAUUCAUAUUCCUUGAAUAACUUAGAUAACUAUAUAAUAACUAUAUAAAUCUAAGAUAUAUAAAGAAAAUAUUAAAAUAACUUUCAUUAUUAGGUUAUAUUUUAGGUUAUAUUUCAUUAUUCAAAAAACAAUUUUUAUUUUAAAUUAGUUCAUAAGUAAUAUUCUAAAUUGGUUAUAUAAUAUUUUUAACUUUUUUUAUAAAUACUAAUACAUCAUCCUUUUAAUGAAUCUUGUAAAAAAAUAUGAGAUUCAUUGUUAUGUAGUUUAGUUGUUACUUAAUAGCGGAAACUUUACAUAUGAAUUUCCGCACGGAUCGAUAAUGAUAGAUAGAAUCUUCAGUUGAGUAAAAUUUAUUAGAACUUAUAUUGCAGUUAUUCACUCAAUUAAGAAUAAUUAUAUUGCAAUUAUAAAGAUAUAACAGAAUAUUUUCACCAAUAAUUAUAUAAAAAUUUUCUAAAAAUUAUAUAGAAAUUAACGAUUUUCACUAACUAAAAUUUAAGACAAAAAAAUCAGAUAUAAAAAAGUAAUAUAUGUAAAAAUUUUAUUGAAGAAUUUUAAUUUCGCAUAAAUCAACAUAGAAUAAAUAUCACAAUAUAUUUUAUCAUGGAAAAUUUCUGUUUAAAAGAAGUUUUAUAACUUUAUAUGUAUAACGUUAUAUAACUUUAAGAUCAAAUGUUGAAGAGUUUAAUAUUGAGUUUAAUAACUCGAACAACAUUUAUGAUCAACACUUGUUAGCAAUUUAUAUAUUGGAAGAUAGCGUUUGUAUUUCACUCAUUAUUUAUUUUAAUAAAGUUUAAUCAAGUCCA